AUUGAACGCUGGCGGCAUGCUUUACACAUGCAAGUCGAACGGUAACAGGCCGCAAGUUGCUGUCGAGUGGCGGACGGGUGAGUAAUGCAUCGGAACGUGCCCCGUCGUGGUGGAUCACUACUCACAAGAGUAGCUAAUACCUCAUACGAUCUAUGAUUUAGAGCGGGGUACCGUAAUGCCUCGCGCGGUUUUUGCUGCCGCUGUCAGAUUAGGUAGUUGGUGAGGUAAAGGCUCACCAAGCCAACGAUCUGUAGCUGGUCUGAGAGGACGAGCAGCCACACUGGGACUGAGACACGGCCCAGACUCCUACGGGAGGCAGCAGUAGGGAAUGUUGGACAAUGGGCGCAAGCCUGAUCCAGCAAUGCCGCGUGCAGGAAGAAGGCCUUCGGGUUGUAAAAUGCUGUUGUACGGAACGAAACGGCUCUGGUUAAUACCCGGGGCUAAUGACGGUACCGUAAGAAUAAGCACCGGCUAACUACGUG
rnacentral:rRNA from 1 species